rnacentral:rRNA from 1 species
UGGGGAAUUUUGGACAAUGGGGGGAACCCUGAUCCAGCCAUCCCGCGUGUGCGAUGAAGGCCUUCGGGUUGUAAAGCACUUUUGGCAGGAAAGAAACGUCGCGGGUUAAUACCCCGCGAAACUGACGGUACCUGCAGAAUAAGCACCGGCUAACUACGUGCCAGCAGCCGCGGUAAUACGUAGGGUGCAAGCGUUAAUCGGAAUUACUGGGCGUAAAGCGUGCGCAGGCGGUUCGGAAAGAAAGAUGUGAAAUCCCAGAGCUUAACUUUGGAACUGCAUUUUUAACUACCGGGCUAGAGUGUGUCAGAGGGAGGUGGAAUUCCGCGUGUAGCAGUGAAAUGCGUAGAUAUGCGGAGGAACACCGAUGGCGAAGGCAGCCUCCUGGGAUAACACUGACGCUCAUGCACGAAAGCGUGGGGAGCAAACAGGAUUAGAUACCCUGGUAGUCCACGCCCUAAACGAUGUCAACUAGCUGUUGGGGCCUUCGGGCCUUGGUAGCGCAGCUAACGCGUGAAGUUGACCGCCUGGGGAGUACGGUCGCAAGAUUAAAACUC